GUGGGGAGAAGAGGCUGUGCAAGCACAGCUAAUGACCAGCUGUAGAAAUGUGAACAUCUAUGAGCAGGUUACACAGGGGAUGCAGGGCAAGGGAUUAAAA